rnacentral:rRNA from 1 species
GACGAACGCUGGCGGCGUGCUUAACACAUGCGAGUCGAACGGAAAGGCCCCUUUGGGGGUCCUCGAGUGGCGAACGGGGGCGUAACACGUGAGUAACCUGCCCUUGACUUCGGGAUAACUUCAGGAAACUGGGGCUAAUACCGGAUAGGAAUCCUUGCUGCAUGGGGGGGGUUGGAAAGCUUCGGCGGUUUUGGAUGGACUCGCGGCUUAUCGGCUUGCUGGUGGGGUAGUGGCUUACCAAGGCUUUGACGGGUAGCCGGCCUGAGAGGGCGACCGGCCACAUUGGGACUGAGAGGCGGCCCAGACUCCUACUGGAGGCAGCAGUGGGGAAUAUUGCACGAUGGGCGGCAGCCUGAUGCAGCAACUCCGCGUGCGGGAUGACGGCCUUCGGGUUGUAAACCGCUUUCAGCAGGGGCGAAGCUUGUGGUGACGGUACCUGCAGAAGAAGCACCGGCUAACUACGUG